CUGCAUAGUACUGUCAUAUUGCAACCUGAAUUAGGACUACGUGCAAGAUAAGGAGAAGAUUUGAAUGCUGAAUCUUCAUGCUCUGGCUGCUACCAUCUGCUGAAAGACAACAAAGUGUAGUGGAAGAUGGUGGGAAGGUUCAACCUCUACUGCCAUAUAACCAAUGUCCACCUCAGACAUUGCGGGCCAGCAUAAUAAAAUAGGAGGCGCUACUUUUGGAGCAGCCCUCAUGAAAUCAGGCCACCAAGGAUGAUCUCGGCUUCCUGAGACAAAGACAUCGCAGCACAAGUCUGUAAAGUCUAUAAUGUGGCAGACAAGUAAAUGAAGUUUGGGAUUCUCUGUUUAGGAAUCCAAGGCUAAGGAAAAGGAACAGACACAGUCUACGAAGCUAAAGGAAGAGGAGGAAACCCAAUAUUCAUUAACUUGUUGCAGAAUUUUAUGAACAUUAAUGCUCUUUUCUGUUGACUGGCUGCUUACAUUAUCCUGAGUUUAAAUCUCAGUCUUUAUUGGUAAGAUAAAGGUUUUCUGGCAGGACUGUGACUGUUUGCAGAUGGAUCUCUUUUUCCCUUCUUAGACUUAUCAAAAAAACAUUCAUAGUAAACACAGCAAAUUCAUAAAAUAAUGAAGUAGCGAUGAAAGAAAUAAACUUUAAGUGACCACGAGGAAAUGUAGAAAACUGCAUGUCCCUGAUUUUGAGCUGUUAAUUAUUCUGGAAUUUUAUUUAUGAAAAUCUGGAGUGUCUUGUAUUCACUUGUGUAUUUUCUCCUUUUCAAAGAUCACUUGGUCACAUACUUGGAUAUUGCUUUUGUUUUACAGGGAUGGAGCUCAGAUUUAUCAGAGAUGUCAGAAAGGGAAAUGGCUUUUUGCCAGAAUAGCCAUUUGCUUUAUUGAUGGCUUUUCCCCAACCUUUAUAAUGCUAUUUUAUUUUUGUUUGAACAAUGAAACUAACUACUGGCACAGAUGCUGAUAGGCAAAUUUAAGUCACCCUCCAACAGACUGCAGUAAAAAUAAUGACUGAUCCAUGCUGUUAGAUUUCUGUAGGCCCCAGGCAGAAUCUAAGGCAGAUACCGUUGUCCCCUCCAUAUAUGCAUGACUCACAUUGCUCUACAUCUUAUGUAAACUGAGCCCAGCCUUCCUAAGCCUCAGGUCCUGGCCUUGACUGUUCACACAGAAGACUAGCUCUUCCUGGAGUGACAGAGAGUCUAGAAGGGGGAAGGAAAUUUAUGGAAUGGGGGAGAUCUGAGAGACUGCAAGGAUGAAUCCCUAGAAGGAGAGCCAGGAAAUACCUCAUGAAUGUCAGACUGACUUAUUUCCGAAUCCUACAAGGAAUGCCACAAGGGAAAUGACAUGAAUCAUCAAACGAUUCCUUAUCCCUCAAUAAGCUCUUCCUCGUCUUUGAAGAAGUUGUGAUAAUAGAAAGCCAUUAUCUCUUUUGAGUGUCCAAGAUAGCCAUAUAUGUUUUUCUCAAUCAGACAGAAAAUAGAAAGUAGGCAGCUUGCAAAAUGGAUAUCAACUCAAAAAUGGGUAAAAACUCAAAAUAUUUAGAAGAAAUUAUGUUGAAAAAGACUCAGGGUUGAAUCUCAGUCUGGAAUAUUAAAGAAAAAAAAAAAAAAGUUGAAUUCUGCUUCAAUAUUAACAAACUAAUCCACACAAAGAAGAAAAAAAUGUUGUCAGAU